AUGCUCAGUUUGGAAGCACAUAUACUAAAAUUGGAAGAAAUUAGAGAUUAGCAUGGCCUGAUACAAGGAUGACCUACUAACUGGUAAAGCAUUUCAUAUUUUA
ensembl:snRNA U6 U6 spliceosomal RNA